GCAUGCCCCUAGAGGUAACACACUCCCCGGCCCGUCUGGCGUGGAGCCAAUCGACCAGUAGUGACCGGCUUGGGCAUUUUGCACCUUCUAAAUACAGCGCCAGUUGGCGACCGCAUGGUUACGUCAUCGCUCGGAAACCCUGGCAGGAAACCCAACUGCGCUGGCCCACUGUUGCCACUGGUUUGGGAGAUGGGCGAGGCGGUGACGGAGCGAGGAAUCGCAGAGGAGAAGGGGAGCCCUGCCUGAUUUUCGGCAGUACCCUCAGUCGCCCAGGCUGGCCCUGCUCCGUCCUUCCUGCGGUACUCAGAGAGACCUGGUAGGUGAGGACCUGGACCCGAUGUCGGAACCAGUAAGGCUGGGGCCCCAACCCAGUCAGGGCCAUCCAAAAGGCUGGAAGGGGGACCUGAUCACUCCCCGGAGACCUCAGUGGUUUCACAGUUUCAGGUAUCACCCCAUGGGUCCAUCACUCCAGAGUUAAGAAGGCCAACUCAGAGGAACCCUCAACCUGGCAAAGUGAUCCAGAUCCAAUCAACCCACUUAAACUGACCCUCAAAAAGACACUGGCCCCUGAGGUCUCCAGCCCUGCUCCAGCCACACCCCGGAAGCUGGCUGGCCUGCGCACGGCAGAAGCUUGAGGAAUCAACGUGUGGACCGAGCCUAGGGGUUUGGAUGCAACUCUCCCAGCCCUUACCCCUUACUGGUGUCAUAGCCCUGAUCUUGCUUCUUGCUGUUAGGCUAAUAGAGACUGCAUCAGCAAACUGGACAAAAGAUGAAUGUUGGGUCUCACAUACCUCCUCUGAAUGGGAGGACUAUUAAGUAUUGCCUGUAUAUUAUGUUAACCUCUCUCACCCUCACGACUGCCACAUACCCACCUUGCCCCCAGGAUUGUUAUAAGACAAUAAGGACAGUAGCCCAUGGUAUCAGGAACGCAAGGGCAUUCAGCUCCCUCACCUCCCUCCACAAAGAUUGUUAUAAGGGAAAGACACCCACCCUCUGCCAGUCGCCAGAUGCCCAAGCACGUAAGUUUUGGACCAUAGAAAUAACCCAAAAUAGCAGAAGCCCAUGUAACAAACAGAGUCGCCAGAAAGGAAAGCGAGUCUGCUAUACAUAUCUUCCCCAACUAGGGACAUCGGACGGGGGAGGAGUGCAAGAUAGGGCCCUUCAAAAGGUCAUAAAGGAUACCUGGACCAGGCUAAUACAAGCCGUAAAGGCAACCACUCCCCAGCAUCCUACCAGGGUUUAAACCUUUAAGCCCUUAAUUAAGUGCUUACCAAUUCCCAGCUCCCAACGCUGGGCCAACACUAUAAGUCCUUCACAAAGUGAAUAACCACACCCAAACCUGCUGGAGGUGCUUGCCUCUCAGCCGGAGGACUUACUUAGCCACUUCUAUCCCCUUGGCCUGGGAAGCUCCUGACAAUCUCACAACCAACACCACUUGUCUUGAUUGGACCCUUGGCCACUGGGGUCCUUCUCACGAAUGCUGAUAAUCUAACUUGUACAGUCCCUGAAGGUAUGAACGGCACUUCCCUAUGUGGGAGAAAUAUAACCUUAAAAAAGAAUACAACCCUAUGCUCAACCCCUGGGGUAUUCUAUCUGUGCUGCAAUUCGGCCUAUUGAUGCUUGAAGGCCAACUGGACUCAGAUGUGCUAUUCCGUCUUCCUAAUUCCGGAGAUAACUGUAUACACUGAAGAUCAUUUCCUAACAGCCGUUAGCCCCAAGUCCCAGGCUAAACGGGCAGUCCUUCUACCCGUCCUGAUAGGAACAGGAAUUGCAAGGGAAUAGGACCUGGAAUAGGAGGCAUAGGUUCAUCCGUAAGGCUAUACCACAAACUAUAGAGAACUAAAUGAAGACAUGGAACAGGUGGCAGACUCCCUGGUAACCUUGCAAAGCCAAAUAAACUCCCUGGCAGCAGUGUCCCUCCAAAAUAGGUGAGCCCUCGACCUCAUUUCAGAAAAAGGAGGGACUUGUAUCUUUCUGGGGGAGGAAUGUUGCUAUUUUAUAAACCAGUCAGGAAUAGUCACGACUAAGAUUAAGGAACUCAAGGAAAGAAUUCAACGUAGACAACAGGAAAAUACCGGUCAGUGGAGAGGAUGGGAUCUCACAGACUGGGCAUCCUGGCUCCCUGCCGUGGCAGGGCCCCUCCUUUCCAUAAUUCUACUUGUGACCAUCAGCUCCUGUAUACUGAGUACCUUGGUAAUUUUAUUGAAAACACUGUUGCCAAACUGCAGCACGUAUCUUAGCCCUCCAGGGUACCAACCCCUAGAGCUAAAAGGUGAUGCUUAAUUAAAGAUUUUUAAAAAGGAAUCAAAGGUGGGGGGAGGGGGGUGCCUGGGUGGCUCCGUUGGUUAAGCAUCCGACUUUGGCUUAGGUCAUGAUCUCGGUGUUUGUGAGUUCGAGCCCCGCGCCGGGCUCUAUGCUAACAGCUCCGAGCCUGCUUCGGAUUCUGUGUCUCCUCCUCUCUGCCCCUCCCCUGCUCAUGCUCUGUCUGACUCUCUUAAUAAUAAAUAAACAUUUAAAAAAAAAUUUUUUUAAGGCAUCAAAGGGGGGAAUGUUGGGAAAAUAAGUAAAGUUCUGCACCAUAAGAUGGCCGACGGGACUAAAACAAGUUCUAGUUCCUAGCUUAGAAACUUCUCUUCUGGGUACUUCUGCCCUGUUUGCCACGCAUGCGAAAGCCACCACCAGUGGAGAAGAUGACGCUAUUAAUGACCCUUCCCAUCUGCAUUCAGGGCUCAGACCUUUGGAGAAACGGUCUCCUCUGAGCCUGCCGGUGUUAAAUAAAUCUCCAAUCCGCCAAGAUAUCCCGAGUGCUGCUUGGUUUUUCCACCAGCAUUCCAGCCUGGUUCUGUAACAACAAUACCUGUCGUCACUAUCGACUAGCACCACCUUUGCCUUUCCAAGCGCUUCCGGUAUCAAAACUCAAGCUCCAGGAAACCUUCCGUGGUUCCCUGCAGUCUGUGUUAAGACCACUCCAGUGUGCUGCAGUUGCUUCUCUGUACUUAGCAUGCUGCACUUAACGUAGUACCGGAUGCAGUAGGUGCUCAAUAAAUGACCGGGCAACCUCAAGUCAUUUUUUACUCGUUCAUUCAACACUUAAAUGCAUAUCUUUGAAGAGACUUCUCUACUCUUUUCCAGGCACUGUGCUAAGAGCUAAGUAUCUGUGAAGAGGUGGUUUUAAUGUCCCUGUAUUAAAGGUAAGGAAACUGAGGCAGAGAGGCCCACAGCUACGGGAAGCCUAACUAGAGGCAAGGGCUCAUACAUAACAACCAGAGCUUCAGCUGACUCUGCAAAACACCUGGCUCUGGGCUGAAAGGAAUUACCCAAGAACCUGGGUUGGCUUUUCCUAAACUGCAGAGAGGCUGGUAGGUUACUGGCCUGACUCCUGCAUUCACUAAAUAUUUAUUAUGUACAGCGUGCAUUGCUGCUAGCACCGAAAAUGCAAAGAUAAACAUCACAAAAUCUCUGCUCUCAAAGGAUCUUCAGUCUGGUGGGAACAGGCAUGUUUAAUGACAAUAUAGCAAGAUAAACGUUUUAAUGGAGGCUUGUCCAAUGGGGGUUGUAGUAAGGUGCACAGAUUAAGUCCUGUUGCAGUGGGGUUAGAGCUGUGGAGAUGGGGGCUGCCUAGUGGAGAUGGUACUUGUACUUUAUUUAGAGAAUGAAUCAAAGUUCUUUUUUAUAAUUUUUUAAUUUUUGUUUUUUAUAGAUUUUUUUUAACAUUUUACUUAUUUUUGAGAGAC